rnacentral:lncRNA from 1 species
CCUGGGUGGAGAUCUUUGUCACCAGGCUCAGGACCAGUUUUGACCAGGGUCAGGGCUCAUCCUGAGAUCAGGGAACAGGGAGAAGCAGCCCUUCAAGGACGGAGCCAGCCCACGAUUCUGACUCUGGGACGAGCCACCACCUGAGGCCUAGAGUCAUCCCAUGUGGGAAUCACCGAAGAUUCCAGUACCUCCUACGUCCCGGGUCUGCUCUAGAAGAG